rnacentral:rRNA from 1 species
UAAGCGGAGGAAAAGAAACUAACAAGGAUUCCCCUAGUAACGGCGAGUGAACCGGGAAAAGCUCAAAUUUGAAAUCUGGCUGUCUUCGAUAGUCCGAGUUGUAAUCUAUAGAAGCGUUUUCCGUGCUGAACUGUGUCUAAGUCCCUUGGAACAGGGUAUCAAAGAGGGUGAUAAUCCCGUACUUGACACAACCAUCAGUGCUCUGUGAUACGUUCUCUACGAGUCGAGUUGUUUGGGAAUGCAGCUCAAAAUGGGUGGUAAAUUCCAUCUAAAGCUAAAUAUUGGCGAGAGACCGAUAGCGAACAAGUACCGUGAGGGAAAGAUGAAAAGCACUUUGGAAAGAGAGUUAAACAGUACGUGAAAUUGUUGAAAGGGAAACGAUUGAAGUCAGUCGUGUUCAUUGGAUUCAGCUAGUUCUUCUAGUCUACUUCCUUUGAACGGGUCAACAUCAGUUUUGUCCGGUGGAUAAAGGAUUUAGGAAUGUGACUCCCUCGGGAGUGUUAUAGCCUAGGUUCACAUACACUGGGUGAGACUGAGGACUGCAGCUCGCCUUUUGGCCGGGGUUCGCCCACGUUCGAGCUUAGGAUGUUGACAUAAUGGCUUUAAACGACCCGUCUUGAAACACG